UACGUAGGGAGCAAGCGUUGUCCGGAAUCAUUGGGCGUAAAGAGCGUGUAGGCGGCCAGACAGGUCCGUUGUGAAAACUAGAGGCUUAACCUCUAGACGUCGAUGGAAACCGUCUGGCUAGAGUCCGGAAGAGGAGAAUGGAAUUCCUGGUGUAGCGGUGAAAUGCGCAGAUAUCAGGAAGAACACCCGUGGCUAAGGCGGUUCUCUAGUACGGUACUGACGCUGAGACGCGAAAGCGUGGGGAGCGAACAGG
rnacentral:rRNA from 1 species